GCUGGCCACCGCCUGGAGCAGAGCCGGCACUGCAGAAAUAAAGCUCCAGGAGAAAUCAAGCUCCCAGCUUGUGUGGAGGUGCACAGCCUCCAGCCCGCCACCCCAGAGCCCAUGGGAUGUUCACGGGGCACAGCUGUUCCCAUGGUACAACCUCCGUGGCCUCAUGCCUCGUGGCCUUGCCCCCGGGAAGCCAAGGGACAAACACACAGCUAACCACCCCCAAGUCCUCCAAAAGCCAGCCCCAGGGGCAGAUGGGGUGCUGUGGGGACCCCUUUGGCCUGAGCCGUAGCCACUCUUGGAGUCCCUACCACAAAAGACAUUGGGUUCCUGGGCACGGUUAUUCCUGGCCUGUGGCCGGUCUGUGAUGUCCCGGUCUCUCUACGUUUGCCCAGCAAUAUUUAACUAGCACUUUCCAGGCCAGCCCCUGAUAGGUGCUGGGGAUUCAGAAAUAAGACAGAUCAUGGCCCUUCAGGGAGCUCAUCUUCCAAUGACCCAAAGGACAAGAUACCUGCUGCUCUGGCCCUACAACAAUCCAGGACUAUCCUGGAAGGUUUUAUUUCCCUCCUCUUCCAAAGUCAGAAUAUGCUGAGAUACAACAGCUUUCUCGGUUGCUCGGCAAAACACACGAGACAGCUUCUGGCCUCUGGCUUCACCCUCAUGGGCACCAAGUCAGCACUUCCCAAAAUGUGAGAAAAACAACAGCUAAAUAUAAGCUCCUGAGUAACAAAGGGUAGGCCCAUGGGAAUGAGGUGUCCCCAUGCAGCACAAGUCAGUGGCAGAUAAAAAGGGGAGGCCCAGAGCGUUGGGGCUGGCUCCCAGGCCCGGCCCUACAUGCUGGGCUGGGCUGGGCUGGGCUGGGCUGGACUGGGCUGGGCAGGUCAGUACACCCAGGCUGAGCAACACUGAUCAUCUUCCCAGCAGCCAGAUCUGUCGAUAUUCAGCUGGGUUUGUGGCCACAUUUCUCUGCCUUCCUGUAGCCAAUGGAGUGUGCAGAAAGGAUACGUGCAAACACCUGAGACAAGAUCUGUUAAAGAAAGGGUCAUGCCUCUCCUUCUCGGGUCCUCCACCCUGCUUGGGGGGCAUUGACUCACCUGGGACCUGGAGGAGCCACGCCCUCGGGAUGGCUGAGCAGGUGGCCUGGAGAACCUGGUUUGGGGACCAUCCAUCCUGCCCUCCAGUGCUUCCCUCAUUCAGACUUUUACAGCAGAGGGAAAGAAACCUUCUUUUACAGGCAGCCCAAAAAAUCCUCCCUAAUAUAAGAAAUGGAAAAAUUAUGUUCUGAUCCUUAUCAUCAGAGAUUCUGCAAUUGAUGCCACACUCGGGGACACGCGGAAACAAAUGCGGGAACUUGACAUGCCGGCGGGGACCGGGACAGGUUCCACAGGGGAGAGAAGCCUAGCUGGGAGCUGCCCAGAGGUCCACUGCAGGGUCACACUGCUGGCAGGGGGCCACGGGCCCAGGGUGCAGCGUCCUCUCUGCUGGCGUAGUACCCGGCCCCGAGCUCGGCUGCCUUCACCUCCCUCUGCUGGACCUCCCCGGAGCACAGCUGGUGACCACACGGACACCUGGGAGCCAAGAGCAGGCUCUGGAAGAGGAGCUGUCCUGGGCAGGCACGGGCUGCCCCGUCCUCCCAGCGCGAUGCUAGAUGGGGUGGCAACUGCCUUGCCUUGCCUCUCGGGGCAGCGUGCAGCAUUUUACCAACAGUUCAGUGCCUUGGCCUUAGAGGUCAACAAUCUGGAAGGAAAGGUAGUCCUGCAGGGAGUUUUGGCAAAAACUGAGCUCCAGCUCCCCUCUCGGCUGUGAUUCACCCCUGCCACAGGGAAGACACGGACUUUUCCAAGGAGAGAUGCUGACUUGGAUGCUGCAGGGAAAAGUGUCACUCCCUGCUCGAGAUCGACAGUGUGGGGCACUCGGCAUUGUUUUCGUGGUUUCGGGAGUGAUGGUGAAAGAAGGGAGGGAAAGUGUUCUCAGCCAUCACGAGAACAAACUAAGACCAGAAUGGCACUUCCUCACCUCCUAGUCAAGGACUGUGACCUCAUAACGCCGAUUGCACAUUAUCAGACUAACUGGGGUUUUGUGUCGAACUUCAAGAUUCUCUUGGAAAGGAUCUGAUUACCCUAACACCAUUUGGUAUUCCCAAGCCCUGCAUCCACUCCACGUGGACUGUGGGGCUGCUGCUGGAGGGCUUUCCAAGGGGAGAAAGAGGAAAUGUUAGAUUCUAUCAAGGCAGGCAGCCCAAGGCUGGCACCGCUCCCUCCUGGCUGCAGACAGAGAACACACGC
rnacentral:lncRNA from 1 species